UACGUAGGGAGCAAGCGUUGUCCGGAAUUACUGGGUGUAAGGGGAGCGUAGGCGGGAUGGCAAGUUGGGUGUUAAAUCUACCGGCUCAACUGGUAGUCGCACUCAAAACUGCUAUUCUUGAGUGAAGUAGAGGCAGGCGGAAUUCCUAGUGUAGCGGUGAAAUGCGUAGAUAUUAGGAGGAACGCCAGUGGCGAAGGCGGCCUGCUGGGCUUUUACUGACGCUGAGGCUCGAAAGCGUGGGGAGCGAACAGG
rnacentral:rRNA from 1 species